rnacentral:lncRNA from 1 species
GGGCCCUGGGCGGCGGAGCCACAGUUGUCACUCAUGCGAGUGUGGCGGGUGUUGCUGUUGUUAUCCGCACUUCCGGAGCACUUUCAAGCUUGAGUUUGAGCGUGUGACAAUUCAAUCGAGAUCACUGGAGCUAGGUUGACUUUGCGUUGUGAACCGAAACUUUCGUAUACACAGUGGCUCUGUUGGACGGCUCUAGUAGGACUCGCCCUGGUUACAGAGGUUUCUCGUCGUCCUGAGUCUAGUUUUUUCAGAACGUGGUGUGUUGAUUGCGAAAUUGGUUAUGUCC